AUUGAACGCUGGCGGCAUGCUUUACACAUGCAAGUCGAACGGUAACAGGUUAAGCUGACGAGUGGCGAACGGGUGAGUAAUGCAUCGGAACGUGCCCGAUCGUGGGGGAUAACGCAGCGAAAGCUGCGCUAAUACCGCAUACGAUCUGAGGAUGAAAGCGGGGGACCGUAAGGCCUCGCGCGAUCGGAGCGGCCGAUGUCAGAUUAGGUAGUUGGUGGGGUAAAGGCCCACCAAGCCGACGAUCUGUAGCUGGUCUGAGAGGACGACCAGCCACAAUGGGACUGAGACACGGCCCAGACUCCUACGGGAGGCAGCAGUGGGGAAUUUUGGACAAUGGGCGAAAGCCUGAUCCAGCAAUGCCGCGUGCAGGAAGAAGGCCUUCGGGUUGUAAACUGCUUUUGUACGGAGCGAAAAGGUCCUUUCUAAUACAAGGGGCUCAUGACGGUACCGUAAGAAUAGGCACCGGCUAACUACGUGCCAGCAGCCGCAGUAACAC
rnacentral:rRNA from 1 species